AUUAGGUGUAGAUUUUUUAGAUGAUUGAACUUCUUGUUAUUUUUAAGGCUGCUUUAGUGCUAUUACAGCCAGUAGGUUCUAACACACUUUCCUAAUAUUAAUUUUGUUUUGGUGUUAAGAAUAUUUUUGUGGAUUUUAAUGUUACAUGGAUCCUUCUAAUAUCCAAGUAGUCUGUAUCGGACCCUCAACAUUCAAGGGUACGAGGUCCUUGUUCAACAUAUAUUGUCGGACAUUCACAUAGCAUGCAUCCCUGGUAAUUCGAAUUUAUCAAGAACUGUGCUUUUUUUCUUGGUUAAUGUGUCCGACAUAUCCCUGUCCAUGUUUUUUCUCUGUGCUUAAUUUUGUUAUCUUUCCAAUUGUACAAUCUGAUUGUAAAUGUCAUAACUUAUUGGGAUUGGUGGUUAAAAUUAUGUUUUCUUUGAUAGGGUUUGCAAGGAUCGGGGUUGAAGUGAAGAGGUGAAGGAAUACUCGAAGUGUCUUGGAACCUCUAACAGGCAAUGAAGAACAUGGUUUUGAUAUAGCAAUAGUUUUUCUAAUUUUAUUCCGCAUCACUUUUCUUGCUUUUGUUUUGUAAGUAAUUGGUCUAUCAGUGGGGGUUUUUUUUUGGUACACUAGAAAAUGAAAAAACAACUAAACUCUCUCGAAAGUCACUCCUCUCAUGUCCGCGUUUAGGAGUGGGAUUAAGUCGUCGGUCGGGAUGAUGUGCGACACCAUUCUAUCUUCUUGAUCAACUCCUAUGUUAGCAAACAUAUCCGCGACUUUUUUGGUCUAUCAGUGGUUGCCACUAUUAAAAAGUGGGAAUUCGAUUUGAAAUUC